AUUGGAAAUUAAACAGAUAGAUACUCCAAUACAGUCAAUACUAGGUAACAGAAGUCAGGCUGAAAGGUGUUAUAACAGAUUAAACCAGUGGACCCUAUUUUCAGUUAAGCUGUGGUUUAGGCUGCUGAAGAAAUUACAAUUGGAGAAACAUGCGGGGGUCUUGGGUUGGGAGAGGUAUCACGUCUUUCUGUUCAGUCACCUCAAAAGGUCAACUACAGAGCUAUCAGGAUUUAGCAGAUACAUUUGGACUGGAAAAGCAGGACUUUUUCAGGUACCUGCAAGUUAGAGAUUACUUUAAGAAAAAAAUACAAAGCAUAAAAACAAACGAU